AGAAUCAACGCUGGCGGCGUGCCUAACACAUGCAAGUCGAACGGGAAAGUGGAGCAAUCCAUGAGUAUAGUGGUGACCGGGUGAGUAACACGUGACUAACCUACCCUUGAGUGGGGGAUAACCUCGGGAAACCGGGGCUAAUACCGCAUAACAUCUUCGGGAUGAGAAGCUGAAGAUCAAAGGAGCAAUUCGCUUUCGGAGGGGGUCGCGGCUGAUUAGCUAGUUGGCGGGUAACGGCCCACCAAGGCUUUGAUCGGUA
rnacentral:rRNA from 1 species